GACCCCAGACUGCAGGCCCGUAGCAUCCCCCCCCCCACCCCCUGCAGCCUGUGCACCUCGCAGGGACACACAGGCCACACACCGCCCGGAAGUUCCUUGAGCUCGGGGAGCUGGCUUCCUUUUACAGGCUCUCCUUCAAGCUGCUGGGGCCCUGGCAACGCCUGCGGCUCCCUGUGCAGCGCUGGGUCUCCCUUCCUGCAAAGGUCAGCCCACCUCCUUCUCUUGCCUGGCCACUGUCCCGUCCAGGCCUGCAAACCUUCGACACUGCAGCUUGAAUAUGGAAAUGGACCAGGCACCCGUGCAAAGAAGCCAGCCAGGAGCAGGGAUCCAGGAGCCGUGCACCCCAGCCAGGCUGCGCUGCACUCUGAGCUGGAUCCAGCAGUCAACUGCAGGCUGAGGCUUGGAAUUCAGUGGCCCAAGGAGCGCAGCCAGGGACCCCAGAGAGGCCCUCCUGCCACCCCAACCCGAGAGAGCGGCUACUGGGGACUGGGAGCAGCAGGGAGAACGAGGUACAGAAAAAGCAGAGGACCCGCCAUUCAAGUGGCUUCCUCUAAAGAGCGCUAUACCCCAGUUUUCUGGGAACUGUACCUAAAAAGUCAGGAGAGAGAACUCAUUAACUUUUGUUUGUUUCACAUUGCCAGCUUCAAGUCAAGCGGAGCCCCCCCCCCCCGAAGAUUUUGUAAAAUAUUUAAUCUAGCUCAGACAAUUUCCUGCAGUCCUUAACCGGACCAUCCCACUCACGGAGCUGCUGCCAAGAGCCAGCUGGACAGCAGGCUGGCAAGGAGAGGCCCUAGGAACCCCUCCCCCCACGCCCCACUCAAAGAGCCGCACAGACCUCCUAGAAUCCCGAGACACCCAACGCACGGGGACCCUGCAGACCCAACCUGGUAAGGAGACCAGGAAAUGGAGUUAGACGCCUUUCACACUGAACUGAUUGUUUGUAUGACCUUGGCGGCCCUCACCCCCUCUGAGCCUGUAAAAUGGGCAGGAGGGCGUCUCCCCUUCCUCUGGCUGCUCUGCGUUUGCCUGCGCAGAGGCCACAGGAGGGGGUGACUCCCUGGGUGUGGCCCAGCGCCCUCCGCUCCCACCCCGUGCACUCUUUUCUUCCCCAUAAUCCCACUGGAGAACAUUGCAAGCCAGAGCGAGGGGGAUCCUUGGACUCUGCGGAACCUCACCCCCUUGCAAACGUGAGGCGCACGGGGAGACUGCUUUGCCCAGUUUCCAUUCCCGCCUCCAGAAUAAGGAGCCUGAAAACAUGUGUACUGUAAAUAAAGCCUGUCUAAAUAAAGCA
rnacentral:lncRNA from 1 species